rnacentral:rRNA from 1 species
UACAGAGGUCUCGAGCGUUAGGCGGAAUCACUGGGCUUAAAGCGUGUGUAGGUGGAUCGUUAAGUACCUUGUGAAAUCCCACGGCUUAACCGUGGAACUGCUUGGUAUACUGGCGGUCUUGAGCCAGCUAGGGGCUACCGGAACAAAUGGUGGAGCGGUGAAAUGCGUAGAUAUCGUCUGGAACGCCGAAGGUGAAAACAGCUCGCUGGGGUUGUGCUGACGCUGAGACACGAAAGCCAGGGGAGCGAACGGG